GUCGAGCGGCGGACGGGUGAGUAAUGCCUAGGAAAUUGCCCUGAUGUGGGGGAUAACCAUUGGAAACGAUGGCUAAUACCGCAUGAUGCCUACGGGCCAAAGAGGGGGACCUUCGGGCCUCUCGCGUCAGGAUAUGCCUAGGUGGGAUUAGCUAGUUGGUGAGGUAAGGGCUCACCAAGGCGACGAUCCCUAGCUGGUCUGAGAGGAUGAUCAGCCACACUGGAACUGAGACACGGUCCAGACUCCUACGGGAGGCAGCAGUGGGGAAUAUUGCACAAUGGGCGCAAGCCUGAUGCAGCCAUGCCGCGUGUGUGAAGAAGGCCUUCGGGUUGUAAAGCACUUUCAGUCGUGAGGAAGGUAGUGUAGUUAAUAGCUGCAUUAUUUGACGUUAGCGACAGAAGAAGCACCGGCUAACUCCGUGCCAGCAGCCGCGGUAAUACGGAGGGUGCGAGCGUUAAUCGGAAUUACUGGGCGUAAAGCGCAUGCAGGUGGUUUGUUAAGUCAGAUGUGAAAGCCCGGGGCUCAACCUCGGAAUUGCAUUUGAAACUGGCAGACUAGAGUACUGUAGAGGGGGGUAGAAUUUCAGGUGUAGCGGUGAAAUGCGUAGAGAUCUGAAGGAAUACCGGUGGCGAAGGCGGCCCCCUGGACAGAUACUGACACUCAGAUGCGAAAGCGUGGGGAGCAAACAGGAUUAGAUACCCUGGUAGUCCACGCCGUAAACGAUGUCUACUUGGAGGUUGUGGCCUUGAGCCGUGGCUUUCGGAGCUAACGCGUUAAGUAGACCGCCUGGGGAGUACGGUCGCAAGAUUAAAACUCAAAUGAAUUGACGGGGGCCCGCACAAGCGGUGGAGCAUGUGGUUUAAUUCGAUGCAACGCGAAGAACCUUACCUACUCUUGACAUCCAGAGAACUUUCCAGAGAUGGAUUGGUGCCUUCGGGAACUCUGAGACAGGUGCUGCAUGGCUGUCGUCAGCUCGUGUUGUGAAAUGUUGGGUUAAGUCCCGCAACGAGCGCAACCCUUAUCCUUGUUUGCCAGCGAGUAAUGUCGGGAACUCCAGGGAGACUGCCGGUGAUAAACCGGAGGAAGGUGGGGACGACGUCAAGUCAUCAUGGCCCUUACGAGUAGGGCUACACACGUGCUACAAUGGCGCAUACAGAGGGCAGCCAACUUGCGAAAGUGAGCGAAUCCCAAAAAGUGCGUCGUAGUCCGGAUUGGAGUCUGCAACUCGACUCCAUGAAGUCGGAAUCGCUAGUAAUCGUGGAUCAGAAUGCCACGGUGAAUACGUUCCC
rnacentral:rRNA from 1 species